rnacentral:rRNA from 1 species
GAUGAACGCUGGCGGCGUGCUUAACACAUGCAAGUCGAACGAAGCACUUACGACAGAACUUUUCGGAGGGAAGAUGUUUGUGACUGAGUGGCGGACGGGUGAGUAACGCGUGGGUAACCUGCCUUGCAGAGGGGGACAACAGUUGGAAACGGCUGCUAAUACCGCAUAAUAGAUCAAGACCGCAUGAUCAUGAUCUUAAAGAUUUAUCGCUGCAAGAUGGACCCGCGUCUGAUUAGCUAGUUGGUGGGGUAACGGCCUACCAAGGCAACGAUCAGUAGCCGGCUUGAGAGAGUGAACGGCCACAUUGGGACUGAGACACGGCCCAGACUCCUACGGGAGGCAGCAGUGGGGAAUAUUGCACAAUGGGGGAAACCCUGAUGCAGCGACGCCGCGUGAGUGAAGAAGUAUUUCGGUAUGUAAAGCUCUAUCAGCAGGGAAGAUAAUGACGGUACCUGACUAAGAAGCC